CCUACGUGAGGCUGCAGUGGGGAAUAUUGCACAAUGGUGGAAACCCUGAUGCAGCCACGCCGCGUGAGUGAAGAAGUAUCUCGGUAUGUAAAGCUCUAUCAGCAGGGAAGCAAAAAGACGGUACCUGCCUCAGAAGCGCCUGCUAACUACGAGCCAGCAGCCUCGGUAAUACGUAGGGGGCAAGCGUUAUCCGGAUUUACUGGGGGUAAAGGGAUCGUAGACGGAGCGGCAAGUCUGAAGUGAAAGGCAGGGGCUGAACCCCUGAACUGCUUUUGAAACUGCCAGGCUCGAGUGCUGGAGAGGUAUGUGGAAUGCCUGGGGUAGCGGUGAAAUGCGUAGAUAUUAGGAGGAACACCAGUGGCGAAGGCGGCUUACUGGACAGUAACUGACGUUGAGGCUCGAAAGCGUGGGGAGCAAACAGGAUUAGAUACCCGUGUAGUC
rnacentral:rRNA from 1 species